UUACGUUCAUAUCAAGUGAAGACACCAGUUGCCGUCCGAUCACCGAAGUUAAGCAACGUCGAGCAUAGUAAGUAUGUAGAUGGGUGACCGCAUGUGAAUACCAGGCUUUG